rnacentral:rRNA from 1 species
UACAGAGGUCCCAAGCGUUGUUCGGAUUCACUGGGCUUAAAGGGCGCGUAGGCGGGCGAGCAAGUCCGGGGUGAAAUCUUUCGGCUUAACCGGAAAAGUGCCUGGGAAACUGCUCGUCUUGAGGGAGGUAGGGGCCUGUGGAACUUCCGGUGGAGCGGUGAAAUGCGUAGAUAUCUGGAGGAAUACCGGUGGCGAAGGCGGCAUCCUGGACCGGCAUUGACGCUGAUGAGCGAAAGCUAGGGGAGCAAACGGG